rnacentral:tRNA from 1 species
AUAUUUUUAUAUAAAUAUU